rnacentral:rRNA from 1 species
AUUGAACGCUGGCGGCAUGCCUUACACAUGCAAGUCGAACGGCAGCGGGGGAGAAGCUUGCUUUUCCUGCUGGCGAGUGGCGAACGGGUGAGUAAUACAUCGGAACGUGCCCUGUAGUGGGGGAUAACUAGUCGAAAGAUUAGCUAAUACCGCAUACGACCUGAGGGUGAAAGUGGGGGACCGCAAGGCCUCAUGCUAUAGGAGCGGCCGAUGUCUGAUUAGCUAGUUGGUGGGGUAAAGGCCUACCAAGGCGACGAUCAGUAGCUGGUCUGAGAGGACGAUCAGCCACACUGGGACUGAGACACGGCCCAGACUCCUACGGGAGGCAGCAGUGGGGAAUUUUGGACAAUGGGCGAAUGCCUGAUCCAGCAAUGCCGCGUGUGUGAAGAAGGCCUUCGGGUUGUAAAGCACAUUUGUCCGGAAAGAAAUGGCUCUGGUUAAUACCUGGGGUCGAUGACGGUACCGGAAGAAUAAGGACCGGCUAACUACGUGCCAGCAGCCGCCGUAA